GGCCAGACUCCUACGGGAGGCAGCAGUGGGGGAUAUUGCACAAUGGGGGAAACCCUGAUGCAGCGACGCCGCGUGAGUGAAGAAGUAUUUCGGUAUGUAAAGCUCUAUCAGCAGGGACGAAAAUGACGGUACCUGAGUAAGAAGCCCCGGCUAACUACGUGCCAGCAGCCGCGGUAAUACGUAGGGGGCAAGCGUUAUCCGGAUUUACUGGGUGUAAAGGGAGCGUAGACGGUUAUGCAAGUCUGGAGUGAAAGGCGAGGGCUCAACCCCCGGACUGCUCUGGAAACUGUAGAACUAGAGUGCAGGAGGGGUAAGUGGAAUUCCUAGUGUAGCGGUGAAAUGCGUAGAUAUUAGGAGGAACACCAGUGGCGAAGGCGGCUUACUGGACUGUAACUGACGUUGAGGCUCGAAAGCGUGGGGAGCAAACAGGAUUAGAUACCCGAGUAA
rnacentral:rRNA from 1 species